rnacentral:lncRNA from 1 species
AAACAGCAAUAAUGUUCAGCAAAGUAAAAUCUACAAAUAAGUCAAAUGACCUAAAUGGUCAAUUGACCCCUUAAGGAGUUAUUGCCCUUUAUAGUCAAUUUUUAACAAUUUUCAUUAAUUUGGUAAAUUUAUGUAAAUUUUUACCAAAUAUAGUUCUCUGUUACUAAUGGGCAAAGUUCAUUAUAGAUAUAAUUGUAAGAAGCAAAAUCGUUCAGUAAAGUAAGAACUUCAAACACAUCACCAUCACCAAAAUACAAUUUUGUCAUGAAUCCAUUUGUGUCCUUUGUUUGAUAUGCACAUAGACCAAGGUGAGCGACACAGGCUCUUUAGAGCCUCUAGUUAUACAUGAACUUUAGUAAACAUAAUACAGAGUAUAUAUGUUAAUAAGGUCAUAUGAAAAAUUUGGAAAUUUCUAUUUAAU